GUCGAACGGCAGCACAGGAGAGCUUGCUCUCUGGGUGGCGAGUGGCGGACGGGUGAGGAAUACAUCGGAAUCUACUUUUUCGUGGGGGAUAACGUAGGGAAACUUACGCUAAUACCGCAUACGACCUUCGGGUGAAAGCAGGGGACCUUCGGGCCUUGCGCGAUUGAAUGAGCCGAUGUCGGAUUAGCUAGUUGGCGGGGUAAAGGCCCACCAAGGCGACGAUCCGUAGCUGGUCUGAGAGGAUGAUCAGCCACACUGGAACUGAGACACGGUCCAGACUCCUACGGGAGGCAGCAGUGGGGAAUAUUGGACAAUGGGCGCAAGCCUGAUCCAGCCAUACCGCGUGGGUGAAGAAGGCCUUCGGGUUGUAAAGCCCUUUUGUUGGGAAAGAAAACUUGCGGGUUAAUACCUUGCAAGUCUGACGGUACCCAAAGAAUAAGCACCGGCUAACUUCGUGCCAGCAGCCGCGGUAAUACGAAGGGUGCAAGCGUUACUCGGAAUUACUGGGCGUAAAGCGUGCGUAGGUGGUUGUUUAAGUCUGAUGUGAAAGCCCUGGGCUCAACCUGGGAACUGCAGUGGAAACUGGAUGACUAGAGUGUGGUAGAGGGUAGCGGAAUUCCCGGUGUAACAGUGAAAUGCGUAGAGAUCGGGAGGAACAUCCCAUGGCG
rnacentral:rRNA from 1 species